UGCAAUCUUCAGGGCAGGGUGAAAGUCCCUACCGGCGGUACAGCCCGCGAGCGCCUCUCCCUCAGGGGAAGCGCAUGAUCAGGUGAAACUCCUGGGCCGACGGUCACAGUCCGGAUGUAAGAAGAUGCAG
rfam:Sutterella wadsworthensis 2_1_59BFAA genomic scaffold supercont1.8, whole genome shotgun sequence.